rnacentral:rRNA from 1 species
UAGGGAAUCUUCCGCAAUGGACGCAAGUCUGACGGAGCAACGCCGCGUGAGUGAAGAAGGAUUUCGGUUCGUAAAACUCUGUUGUUAGAGAAGAACAGCGCAUAGAGUAACUGUUAUGCGUGUGACGGUAUCUAACCAGAAAGCCACGGCUAACUACGUGCCAGCAGCCGCGGUAAUACGUAGGUGGCAAGCGUUGUCCGGAUUUAUUGGGCGUAAAGCGAGCGCAGGCGGUCAAUUAAGUCUGAUGUGAAAGCCCCCGGCUCAACCGGGGAGGGUCAUUGGAAACUGGUUAACUUGAGUGCAGAUGAGGGAGGUGGAAUUCCAUGUGUAGCGGUGAAAUGCGUAGAUAUAUGGAGGAACACCAGUGGCGAAGGCGACUCUCUGGUCUGUAACUGACGCUGAGGCUCGAAAGCGUGGGUAGCAAACAGG